rnacentral:lncRNA from 1 species
GCAGCUUUGGGGGAGGGUUAGCAAAGGCACAGAACAGAAAGGCCCUGGGCUGUGCAGGCUCCAAAGAAAAGGGCUGCUCUGGGACUGGACCUCCUCCCAGGACCAAAAAGUUAGGGAGGGUGAGAGACUACUUUAGUUUAUCAAGGACCCUGAAGAGACAGGAACCUUCAUCUCUCAUCCUUCCUCCACACCCCCCACCACCACCCCUAAAGAACUCCCAAUCUCGGUCCUUUAGUGAGACUUGCUGACAAGUUUGACAUCUAAGAUGUUUUGUCCCAGAAAGCACAAAAUAUAUGGCAAUGGAGAGAGAGACCCAGGUAUAGCUGGGCACAGCUGGUCACCUGCAGCUGGGAUCCACAACUGGUCCUUGAAACGGCCUGUACCUUAGGAGACCUGGCACCUCUGACCCCACAUUCUGGCUGGGAUUGCCAGCCCUUCAGGACAGGGUCCCUGACCCCAGCCCUCCCAAGCCACUGUCUGUAGCUGAGAAAUUAGAUGGAGAGACCCAACUGGCAGAAGGUCCUCGGAGCACCUUGAUAGUGUGGAAACCAGCAAGGGCUUAGAGGUUCAUGGAUCUGGAACCCAGGAGGAUGGUUGUGUCCCCUGCAGUCCCNAGGUAUGAAGGUAAGGCCCUGUAGAGAAAGUUGAGGAGUGGUGCCAGUAGUGGCACUUGGCAAUAGUUCCACCAGCACCAAAACAGGUGUGGAUGUGGAGCUGGGAAGGGGCAGACAGGAAGUGGGUCGCUGUGUCCAGGGUAGCCUCUCAGUGUCUGCUCAAGGACAGUCCCGCCUUACCUGCUCC